AAGAAUGAUGCCUCCGCCCCCCCCCCCUUCCUCCUCUGUCAACCCUGAUUGGCUGAGAGGCUUGCCAGCAUGUUUGGCUUCACCUCUCAGCGGGGCUUGGUCACAGCUACAUCCGAAGGCAUCCGAGACAUAAGAAACGAAGGCUCCUUUUGAUUCAAAUUCUUAAUAUUGGGAAGGCAAUGAGCAGCACAUCAUACCAUGCAGAUUUAACUAGAGGACAAAUCCGAAAGUGUGAAAGACAAUGGUUCCCAACCUUUAAGAAAACGUGGACCACUGAGGCAAAAACUGGAUACAUCGUGGACCAUCAAGAUCAAUCAACUCAUCGUCCCACCAUCCGGACAAAAAUAAUUUUUAAAAGUUUUUAAAUAACUAGAAUGUCUUAAUCAUAUUAACAUUCACAUAUACAUUUUUUACUUUGUGAUAAAGACAAAAAACCAUAAUGAGAUUUAAUGAAAAAAAUGAAUGUGAUUUUUGAGUUUGUAUUUCUUUCACUACGGUAGGUAGGGAAUCCUUGGAUUGAUACUAUUGCUCAAUGCCAUGCACAUGUUAUGGCACUGAGUAAUAUCAUACUGGACUUUGAUAGUAGUAGACUCCCAGACUGGCUUUUGAAGUCCAAAUACUGUAUUAGGCUGCUGUUCUUGGGCUUCAAGAUCUAGUCUGGGAGAAUGAGCUCCAGAGAGCUCUUCUGCUGGCUCAGCUAAAGGGAAAAAGUGCACCCAAGUGCUUCCUUCCUUUCUCUUGCUUCCUCAUGAGGAGCCAGUGAUGGAGCUUCCCUCGGCCCCUGCCUUCACUGAAUUGCAGGCUUUGACUGCAUCCUCCUCUUUGCAAUCCAGCCUGUGAACAGGGCUGCCUUUCUUGCCUCAAUAGCAGGUAAGAAAUGAAGGAUUCAAUAUUACAAUUCCUGCUGCCUCCCUUUGCUCAGUGUUGGACCCUUCUUUACUUGUGCUUGAGGAGACUACUGUCAGAGCUGCAUUUGCAAUCUCCUUGUAACCCAGCCUCUUGUAACCUGGGUUUGCAAAUGGGGCUCUGGCAACAGCAGUUUCAAGUCCAGGCAAGGAAGGAAGGAUCCAACACUUCUAUUCUUGCCCCCACACUUUGUUCGAUGUCAGAUCCAUCCUCACAGCCCAGAUGGCAGGGGACUGGGUUGCAAGGAGGAGACUGAAAACGGGGCUCUGGAAGCAACAACCUCCUCAAGAGCAGGGAAGGAAGGAAUUGAAAUUGUCCAAAAGGAAGAGGGUUGUAUCUUUGAUUCCUUACCUGCUCUUGUGGCAAGGAAGGAAACCCCAUUUAUAGACUGGAUUGCAAAAAGGAGGAGGCAGUUGAAGCUCGCAGGAAGUGAAGAUGGGGGCCAGGGAUAGCUCCAUCAACACUGGCCCCUAAUGAGGAAGCAAUGGAAAGGAGCACGUCGGCAUUCUUGCCUCCCUUUGGCUGGGCCAGAGGAGAGGAACACUCUAAGCCCGAGUGCUAACAGGAGUCAAGGCUCUGGGAUGAAGGAGAAGGGGAGGGCCGCAAGGGGAAAGGUGUGUGUUUGGGGGGAUUAUACCUGCGGGGCCACUUCCUCAACAACUACACUGUGCCGACUUGGGUUUUCUGGGAAAGACCCCCGUGGACCACUUUUUUGUUUCUUGGGGACCACCCGUGGUCCACGGACCAUUGGUUGGGAACUAUUGGUGUAAGAUUAUGGCCUCCAAUAAAUUUGUUAGCAAGAUUUCUCUACUCUUACCAUGAGAAGCUAACACGGCUUACUUUCAGGAAUUCUUACUCUCACUGUCUUCAUCAAGUAACUGAUGUAAAGAAUCUUUGCCAAAUUGAACAUGAAUGACAAUACUUGUGGAGGUGAUCCAGGUAUGUAUGGGUUUAUGUUGUCAAGAGGAGCUUUGUAUUCAUUGUGUUAUCUGUCAAGGCUGUAUCUUUAUUAUGAACACAAAGUAUGACUUAAACAUGUCUGAGCUCUGCAAAUUUAAUCUUCAGUUCUUGUAUGCGAGUAGUUUAUAAAUUGCCUCUUUGCAAAUGAAAUUCUUCCUUGAUUACUUUAUCAGUCUGUGGUGGAUCAUCUAUAAGCUUUAUGAAAGGGAGUUUCGACCGAUACUUGUCUCGGCAUGCAGAGUUCCUCAUAAGAAAGUAGUAACUCGGAGCAAGAGAGAUUUUGUACAUUUCUUCUCAUUUGUUGUUAUUGCUAUUAUUUACUGUCAACUUCAACCUAUGCUACCCUAUGAAUAAGAGAUCUCCAAGAUCCUUGGUCAUCAACUACCUUGCUCAGGUCUUGUGAAUGCAGGGAUUUGACAUCCUUGAUUAAAUCAAUCUACCUGUAGUGCAGUUUCCCUCUUUUCCUACAGACUUCUACUUUACUAAGUAUUAUUUUUCCCAAUAAGACAUAUAAUCUCAGAGUAUGUCCAAAGUAUUACUUGUGACAAAGGAGUUUCUUUUAGCUUUACUGUAGUCAUCUUCAGUGCUAAUGAGAGUUCAAGUUUAAUAUGCCUUAAGGCCCAUUCAUUUGUCUUUUUAGCAGUCUGUAAAACUCUUCUCUAGCAUCACAUUGCAAAUGAGUUACUGUAUAUACUCGAGUAUAAGCCUAGUUUUUCAGCCCUUUUUUUAAGACUGAAAAAGCCCCCCUCGGCUUAUACUCGGGUGAGGGUCCUGGUUGGCUUAAAUUUGGGUCAGCUUAUACUCGAGAAUAUAUUGUACAUUUAUUAUUUUUCUCUAUUAUUGUUGCUACUAUUACAUUUAUUUUACUCUAUUUUUAUUAUUACAGUAUUAUUAAUACAUUUAUUAUUUCACUCUGAUAUUAUUAUUAUUAUUAUUAUUAUUAUUAUUGCAUUUAUUAUUUCACUCCAUUUUUAUUACAUGUAUUAUUUUACUAUUAUUAUUGAAAGGAUACAUAAGCAUAUUUACAUUGAAGAAGAUGAGAAUAAUGGUUUGAUCAGAGUUGGACAGUCUUAUCUUAAAUUUGAGCUUUAUGUAAAUAUUCAAAAACAUUUAACCUACUGAUGCCUCAAUUAAUGUAAUUUUAUUGGUAUCUAUUUUUAUUUCUGAAAUUUCCCACCCUCGGCUUAUACUGGAGUCAAUGUUUUCCCAGUUUUUUGUGGUAAAAUUAGGUUCCUCGGCUUAUAUUCAGGUCAGUUUAUACUCGAGUAUAUAUGGUAUGUUUCUUGCUGUGGGCUUCCAGAUUUCAAAACUGUAUAUAGAAUUCAGAAAUGGUAUGGCCUGGAUAAUUCUGACUUAUGAACAUUUGUUUCAGUUUUGGUGAUCUAGUUCCUUCUAGGCUUGGGCCCAAAUCACUGUUAACAAAAAGAUUUGUAGUUUUUGGUGGGCCGUUUUUGAUAAUUAUCAAAAACAGAAUGGGGAGGAGGGAGGUGAAAAUCCCAGUAAAAUGGAUUCAAAGAGCCAGAUUUGUUUGGUUCUGGAGAGGAAAGAGUUAAAUCCACAAAAUACCUGUAGUCUGGGGAUCUACCGUGUGUUUUUCUCUCCUCACAAAAGCAGCCUCCGUCCAUUUUUUUCUUGGAAAGUUCCCUCCUCCUCUAGAGGGGGCCUGGGAACUCGCUUUCCCAGCAGCCCUUGCAUAGGGUGGCCAUUGAAAAGUUCCUCUCGGAGCAUGAUGGGAGUUGAAGUUUAUCUCUCUCUGUUUCUCAGCCAAUAAAAAACAGGAUGCCUUUUGACUGAAUUGCACACCCUUUCAUGGCUGUCUUUCUAAGUCUUAGGAUCUCAUCACAUGGAUGAGGUCUCAUGUGGGGAAGUGUCGCCUCAUGACUUGGCCUCAUGGUUUUCUACAGAACACAGGAAGCCUCCCAUGUUCCAAGGGAAGCCUACUUGUUCUUAAUGAUGCCUUUAGUUUGUACUUUGUAUCUGAUUUACAUCGAUCAUUUGUUGACUUACUUACCAGCCUAAAAGUCAGACUGUGAACAAAAAUAACUACAAUUAAGUUAGUAAAUAUAGGCACAAAAUUAAUUGCCAUAAAGAACAAAAUGACAAAAGAGAGAGAUACAAACAUUAUCAAUAUCCAGAUGGAGCAAUAAUAACAAUAAAAGAAAGAGUUCCUGGCAGAUAUUCUCUCCUUAGCUCAAAAAGGCUAAAAUAUAUAAAUAGCCAAACCUCUUUCUUGACUUGUAACUCUAUCAGUUAAAUACUGCAAUCAAACUGUGUGAUUCAGUUGGGUUUCUGCUGCCAGAAAUGCCUUUGAACAAUUAUUGUGUUUUUGUGCAGUCCCCUAUUAAUUUCAGUGGAGCAUGUGCUGGAUUCCUUCUCGAUGGACUGUUCCCAGAAUUUAUAAAGGAGACCACUUCUCACGAGUUCAUUAUUUCAUUUAUACCAUUUAGUCUUUUUUUGUUCUAUUCACAUGGUAUUGCAUCAUUUAAUUAACAAGAUUUUGCAUCGCAUUAUAAGUAUGUUAUUUUGUACAUAUAAAAAUAGCAAGUUGCAGUCAUCAGCUAUGUGUGAAUUGCAAAGUCAUGAAUUACAAAUUGCAAAGCCAUGAACUAAUGAAUUACAAAUGAAUGAAUUGCAAACUACAAAUUAUGCAAAUUACACAAAGCCUGAAAAGUUUCUCAAAGGGUGUGAAUUCUUAUGUGAAUAUUCAUUUUAAAAACUGAAUACUCUGAUCCAAGGAAUUUAAUGAGAAUGAAUGCUCUGAUUUUUGAACUUGAAUAACCCUGUUGGUUCCGGUUAGAGUUAACAAGUGUCUUCACUAUGAUAUAUACAUCUCUGUAACAAAUCAAUGCCUUUGUAGGACCAAGGAAACACAAACCAGCCUGAUUCCCUGCCAGCAUGCUUGCGAUUCUUUUGUAGCUUGCUUAUCUUUUGGACAUCUAAAGGUUGUUUUCCUUCCUUCUGAUGAGUGGCUUCUUGCAACAGGGACCCAGCACUCAUGCUGCCAUGUUGCGGAGAAGCACUGACUGCUCUGAAACCUAAGUACAAUUUUCGAAGUAACAAGAAAGAAGUAAAGGGCAGAAAAUUGUUUUUUUUUUAAAGUGGGUCGUGACUCACAAAUUAGGAGCUGUAAACUAGAAAUCGUGUUUUACUUUUAGUGAUGUAACUAUAGAGUCUGCACUUCAGCACCAGAAAAGGGGACCUUGAGUUGAGCAUAGCUAGGCUUUUAAGGGGAACUUUGAAAUAUUUUCAAAAUAUCACAAUUUUAGACAGGGAAAGAAGAAGUAGAGUCACUGAUAGAAGACAAGAGGCACUCAUGCCACUUCCAAGUAGAGGAUUUUUAUUUAUUUUUUACAAAAGGCUUUCUCUAUCAGCAUACAUUGGAAGAGCAAUUUGAUGCUUUUUUUUUUUACUGCCACAGCUCAGACCUUGAGACAAAAAAAUUCAUGAACUUUCGAAACUUUAAAAUGUUCUGCUGUAGUUACAGUUGUUUAAAAACAUUUGUUGCCCAUUUCAAUCUGCAUGAAAACAGAUGUAAAAACCAUAGGGAUUUUUAAAAGAUGAAAAAAAAACCAUGGCAAAGACACAAGGCAGGUAGCCUAUUCAGCUUUGGUGAAGCUUCUCAGGGUAGUCAGAUCCACAAAUACAGGCAGCUGCAAAUAAUGAUUGUACUCUGGUCCUAAUUGUCUGUUUGCAUUGGUUAAUGCAGUGGUUCCCAACCUGUGGGCCCCCAGGUGUUUUGGCCUAUAACUCUCAGAAAUCCCAGCUAGUUUACCAGUUGUUAGGAUUUCUGGGAGUUGAAGGCCAAAACAUAUUUGUACCCACAGGUUGAGAACCACUGGGUUAAUGGAAUUUGUAAAAAAGUGGCUUUUAUUUAUUUAUUAGACUUGUAUACCGCUACUCCCAGUUUGGCUCGGAGCGGUUUACAGAAAUAGAUUAAAACAAUACACUUAGCUUUAAAAUAACAAUAACAACAAUAAAACAACAAUAAAAACAGACAUAGCCCCGAGUUUUUCACCCAUUGAAAGCUUGUCGGAAGAGCAAGGUUUUGCAGGCUUUCCGAAAGGCAAGUAGGUCUCGGAUAGUUCGGGUUUCAACUGGCAAGGCAUUCCAUAAAUGAGGGGCUACAAUUGAGAAGGCUCUCUGCCUAGUGGAAGACAAAUGAUAAGUCCGUAUGUUAGGGACUUCAAGCAAAUUUUGGUCUUCGGACCGAAGUAAUCUCUGGGGUUGGUAGGGGGAUAAGCAGGUCCUCAGGUACGCCGGCCCCAAACCAUGCAAGGCCUUAAAGGUUAGAACCAGUAUCUUGAAAGUAAUCUGGUACUCAAUCGGUAGCCAGUGCAGCUGUUGUAGAAUUGGGGUGAUACGCCACCUCGCCGGCACCCCAGCGAGAAGACGAGCCGCCGCAUUUUGCACCAGCUUCAGUUUCCGGAUCAUUGACAGAGGAAGGCCAAUGUAGAGGGCGUUACAGUAGUCGAGCCUCGAGAUGACCGUCGCCUGGAUCACCGUAGUCAGGUCGUUCCUAGAUAGGUAGGGAGCCAGUCGCCUAGCCUGACGUAGAUGGAAAAACGCAGAUCUGCUCACAGCAGAGACCUGGGCCUCCAUUGUGAGCACCAAGACUUUUUACAGAAGAUGACGGACGUAGUGUCUCGCCAUCCAGGGUAGGCAGCUGGAUCUCCCUCCCACCUGGACGGCCCAGCCAAAGGAUCUCUGUCUUCGCCGGAUUCACCCUCAACCUGCUGGCACGCAACCAUCCAGUAACGGCCUCAAGGCAAUGAUGGAAACUAGAUGAUACAACAAAAAGGGAAUUGUUGAGUGAUAUGGAAAAUGUAUAUCCCAACUUUCCAUUGCAGAUGACCUUCAAAACCGCUAGCAACUUUCCAAUUAAGGCUCCCAUUCCAAGCUCAUUUAUUAGGGAGUAAGUUUCACUGGGAUAGCUGGUAUGCCCUAGUGGUUGGAAUGUUGGACUAGGACUCAACGAGACUAGAGUUUGAAUCCCCGCUCAACAAUUGAAAUGCACUGGGUGGUCUUGGCAAUGGGCAAGGCACAUUCCCUCAGGUUGAGAGGAGGACAAUAGACCUCCUCUGCAUAAAAAUUGGUCAAGAAAAUCUCACAUGUGGGUCACUAUACGUCGGAGAUGACUCAGAAGCACAUAACAAGAGCAAAGUCUUAGUGGACAUUGCAUGAUUUUCUUUUGAGUGGAUAAAAUCGCCCUAUAUUAUUAUCCUCGAGCCUCACGUAGAGUCUGCACAAGCUCACCCUUACAUAUUUUGUACUAUGCCCUAGGUUCUAAGGACAUGGUAUGUUUAUGCUGUUUUAUGCUGUCUUAUACUGUUUUUACUGUUUUAUAUUGUUUUAAAUCAUGACUGUAUUUUAAUGUAUGAUGAUGUUGGGCUUGUUGGCCCUGAAUUCCAUUGGGGAGAUGGGAGCGGGAUAUAAAAAUAAAGUUAUUAUAAAGGUUUCCCCUUGACAUUAAGUCUAGUCCGUUCCAACUGUGGGGGGUUGGUGCUCAUCUCCAUUUCUAAGCCGAAGAGCCGGCAUCGUUCGUAGAUGCCUCCUAGGUCAUGUGUCCGGCAUGACUGCAUGGAAUGUCGUUACCUUCCCGCUGAAGUGGUACCUAUUGAUCUACUCACAUUUGCAUGUUUUCAAACUGUUAGGUUGGCAGAAGCUGUGGCUAGCAACAAGAACUCACCACGUCCCACAGAUUCGAACUGCUGACCUUCUGGUCAGCAAGUUCUGCAGCUUAGUGGUUAAACCUGCUGUGUCACCUCAGUCCUAUUUUGAAUGGAUAUAUACAUGUAUAUAUGUAUGUAUAGAUGAAAAGAAAAAAAUAUAUUAUCAGAAAUGUUAAUUAAUUAAAACUUAUAUCAAAAUAAAUCUAAGAAUAGUGGUAAAAUUAGAUUUCAAAACACAAAGAUAACCAUAGGCACCAUAAGCACUGGUGAAAUAAUUACAGCUCACCCGUGUUGCUUCAAUGAACACAAUGACCCUCGUUGACCAUCUGAAAUACAGCCAUGUUAACACCAGGCUAAUUAUCAUGGAGGAGGUUUCCACCUGUGAGAAAAGCAUAAUUCUUGUGUGUCAGUCGUAGCACUUCACGGCUAGUGCAAAUCAUAUAGUAAGCCAUUAUUAUCAUGUAAUAUUGUUAUGUUAAUGCAUAUUUUCUAUUUUAACUCUCCUUUUCAGAAAGUGAAUGAAUGAAUGAAUGAAAAAGAGAAGAGGAGCGAACAGUGAAUGGCUGCUUGUUGUCAGUACCCUUAAAAUUGCUUUUUUUUCAGGCCAGGGAGAAUUUGAGAUACCACCAUCCUGGCAAAAUCACUGGAAAAUCAGUGGGAAGCGUUAUACUUGAAAUUGACAAGCCAAUGAACAAGACUAAGGAUUUCAUCAGCCUUUGAAGACUGUUCAAAAGCUUCAAGUGGUCCAACAGGCAGUUAGAUUCCUCACCAGAGCACCGUAUAGGGAGCACACAACCCCCGUGUUACGUUAAUUCCACUGGCUGUGAGUCGGCUACCAAGUACAAUUCAAAGUGUUGGCUUUAGCCUAUAAAGCCCUAAAUGGUUCCAGUCCAGCUUACCUGUCUGAACGUAUCUCCUUCUGUGAACCAUCUCAGAAGUUAAGAUCUUCUGGGGAGGCCCUGCUCUCGAUCCCACCUCCUUCGCAGGUGCGGUUAGUGGGGACGAAAGACAAGGCCUUCUCAGUGGUGGCUCCUAGGCUGAGGAACUCCCUCCCCAGUGAAAUCAGAUCAGCUCCCUCCCUCCUGACCUUCAAAAAGAAACUGAAAAUGUGGAUGUGGGACCAAGCUUUCAAGCAAUAACUUUCAGUGCAAUAAGUGAUUAUGUGCAAUUAUAUGAUUUCAGUUCAAUGGGUGAUUAUGAAAUAGUACAAUGACUACUGGAACAGCUUUGGACUAUGAACCUGGAUUACGUAAUUUUAAUAAUUGGUUUUAAUUGUGUGUUAUAUGUUUUGAACUUUUUGGUUUUCAUGAAUUUGUUUAUUUAUUGGCUGUAUGUUUGUGCGGCAUGUAAUGAUUAUCUCCUUGUAAGUCGCUCUGAGUCCCCUUCAGGAUGAGAAUAGUGGCAUAUAAAUGUAGUAAAUACAUAAAUAAAUAAAUCAGAGUUAGGAGGAACCGGGGGGGGGGGGAGUGGAGGAAACCAUCUUACCCUAUUCCCUCCCAUCUUUCCCGUAUUGAGGGAUGGCCAACCAUCCUAUGUCUGUACCUGUCUUUCCCCCACUUUCACCUAUCUGAAACCUGUUUGGAGUCGGGUAAUACCCAACUCCUGAAGAUGGGCUUCAGGCUCCAUUCAAUGUACUUAGGAAAAGGAGCUCCACGAAUUCCGACCGGAAGUGCCCUCACAUCAUGUGAUGGCCUCUGUGGGACUCCCAUGGGCUUCAUUUCCUAAGCGCAUGGAAAAGGAGCCUGAAGAAUGUCUGAUGAAGUCUAUAGAUGUUUUCCUCAUUCUAUCUUCAUGAUCAUUCCUUGACAUACCGUAGAUAAAGCCGAAAGAGAGAUCAGCCAGUGAAAACUUCUGGACAAGUAUGCUUAGGAUCAGUCUCAAAUUGUAAGAUCAACACAGCCUUUUACAAAGACACAGGCUUUUCCAAUUCUGUUAAAGAAAUCUUCUGCCCAAAUUCAGCUAUUCAACAACACUUGUAAUAAUUAUACUUGUAAAUGUACACAGAAAAAUUCACAGGUCUGCAAUGGAAAAUCUUUCAAUAUUAUAUUAUAUUUAUUUACCACAUUUGUACCUCGCCCUUCUCAACUCCAAGUGGGACUCAGAGCGGCUUCACAUAUCGGCAACAAUGUGAUGCUUUAAAAACAUACAAUUGCUAAAAACACAUUAAAACAAGAAUUAAAACAAAUAAAAACAAUUAAAACAAUGAUUAAAAACACAUCAUCCAAAACUGUAUUAAAUACAUUUUCGGAUGCUGAAUUUAAAAGAAAUGUCACAUUGCACCAUUAUUUCAUAAAUUUUAUUACUGAUUUAUUUCAGUCAGAUAUUCAAACAUGAAAAAAAUCAGAGCAAAUUGUGAUAAACCUCAAUGUGAUAGAGCAAAUCUGAGGUCAUUUUUGGAUUUUGACUGCCAAAUUUCUAGAAAAUCAGCAUACAUUUGUAAAAGAUUUUUAUGACCCUAAAUUUAGCAAGCCUAUGUUUUGAACAGGUGUGGCUAUAUGAACAAGCCAUAUUUUCCAUUUAGUUUUUAUUUCUGCAAAUGUGUAAAGUUGGUUCUCUAAAUAAACAAUAUUUGAUAAGUACAAACAGUAAGUAUACCUGCUGCUAUUUGUCCUGGACAUCUAUAUACUGAACUUUUAACUUAUAGACCGUCACAGCUUAUUUCAAUUCCAUUUUUUUCUGAAAGGACUGUAGAAUUGUUUAUUUAAUAGAAUGUGAUUAUUAAAGGGCACAGCUGGAUGGAAACCAAACUCCCCCCUUUCCUUGUUCCUCAUUUUCCUUUAUGUGAUGUUACUAAAAUUUAUAAGCCUUUUUCUAUGUGAGACAGAGCAAAAAGGCUUUAUCCUUUCCUCCACACCAGGUUUACACAACUUGGCAGUAGUAACAGACCAAACAGAAAACAGACUAGAGGCUGCAUUCCAGAAUCCGAAAGGAAGGAAGGAACCACACAUCCAAAGCACUUCUAGUACCAAGCAUUUUUAUAAGGGAUCCUCAACCUGUAAUCUGUUUUUCAGGGAUUAGGGAAGGAAGAACUUUUCCCCCUUCUCCAGAAGUAACCAAAACCUUUUGCUUCCAACUAAGUCCCUCACUGAUUUCUGGUCCAGGCAAGCAAAGGCAAGCAUGGCCCUACCACUUCUGCUUAACCUUGUGGUGACUCAACUCUACUUAGACUCUUCCUGUUCUUCUGAUUUUUUUUGUGCUUUCUCCUUCUCAUUUUGGUACAGAGAUGGUAAUUGAGGAAAGAAGCUACCCUUGGAAGGAAAAUGCAGGAGAAAGUAUGCCUCUGACAGGGUGUAAGAGGAAAGAGGAAAGGCAUUUCAGUCUCCAUCCAGGAGUGCCACACACAUAACACUGGGUGGCAGGUAUUAGGAACUGGAAUGGCCAAACUGUGCUGGUGUGUGUAUGAGUAAAUGUGCUCUAUCCUCCUUCAAGAAACAACUGAAGACCUGGAUGUUUAGGUUGGCCUUUAGUGAGACCUGUCACUGGAUGACCAGCCUCAGUUGGCAUUAUAACUCUAUCCUGAAUUUUAUUAGGUCCCUUUUAUUCUGGUAUUUUAACUGAUGAUGUUAUUUUUAUAUUGCUGUUGCAGUCCUCCCCCCCCCCCCCCCCCAAUGAAGUCGACUGAAUUGUACUUGAUGGUUGAUUGAUAUUAUCACUGCUGUAUUAACUCUUGUUUUAUUGUCUUACUGUGUUGGGGUUUUUUUUUGUAUAUUGUUCAAUGUAUUUAUGCUGUUUUUGUAAAUUGUGCUGGUUGGGCCUUGCCCCAUGUGAGCCGCCCCAAGUCCCUGUGGGGAGAUGGUGGUGGGGUAUAAAUAAAGUUGAUUAUUAUUAUUA